AACUUUCAACAACGGAUCUCUUGGCUCUCGCAUCGAUGAAGAACGCAGCGAAAUGCGAUAAGUAAUGUGAAUUGCAGAAUUCAGUGAAUCAUCGAAUCUUUGAACGCACCUUGCGCCCUUUGGUAUUCCGAAGGGCACACCUGUUUGAGUGUCA
rnacentral:rRNA from 1 species